UCUAUUGUAGGAAUUACUAGGGUUUGGUUGGAGAUUGGUUUAGGAUUAGGAUUUGGUUUAGGAUUUGGUUAGGAUUUGGUUUAGGAUUUAGCAUUUGGUUAGGAUUUCAUUCAAGGUUUAGGAUUUGAUUAUGAUUUUAUUUAGGAUUUAGGAUUUAUUUAGGAUUUUAUUUAGGGUUUAGGAUUUGAUUAGGAUUUUAUUUAGGGUUUAAGAUUUGGUUAGGAUUUUAUUUAGGAUUUAGGAUUUGAUUUAGGAUUUGAUUUAGGAUUUGGUUAGGAUUUGAUUUAGGAUUUAGGAUUUAGUUAGGAUUUGGUUAGGAUUUGAUUUAGGAUUUAUGAUUUGAUUUAGGAUUUAAUUAGGAUUUGAUUAAGGGUUUAGAAUUUGAUUUAGAAUUUGGUUGGAAUUUGGUUUAAGGUUUUUUUAGGAUUUGGUUUAUGGUUUAGAGUUUGAUUUAGGAUUUAGGAUUUUAUUAGGAUUUAAGAUUUAAUUAUUUUUGGUCUAAAGUUUGAAUGAAGUUCAAUAGGAUUUUAACUAUAAUUAAAUUAAGAUUGAAUUGAGAUGUAUUUGAGUGAUAUUUGUGAUCAUUCUAAUAUUUCUUUAAGAUUUUUUAUUGUUUUUUUGAAAUUUCUUUGAGUUUUGUUGAAUUUGAUUAAAGCUUGGUUAGCAUUAUUAUGGUCUAAUUAGAACAUUGUUAGUAUUCUAUUAGAACUAGGAUUUUGUUUUUGCAAAUUCCAUUCUUUCUUCCACAGCCAGGUGCCCGGAGCAUUCUCAAGCAAGUCUUCAUGUAUUACGACAUCAUCCUUAGAAGUGGAGGUAAUAUCAUAGAUAUACACAUGUAAGCUAG
rnacentral:lncRNA from 1 species